rnacentral:rRNA from 1 species
UACGUAGGGUGCGAGCGUUGUCCGGAAUUAUUGGGCGUAAAGAGCGUGUAGGCGGCCAGGUAGGUCUGCUGUGAAAACUCGAGGCUUAACCUCGAGAUGUCAUCGGAAACCAUCUGGCUAGAGUCCGGAAGAGGAGAGUGGAAUUCCUGGUGUAGCGGUGAAAUGCGCAGAUAUCAGGAAGAACACCAAUGGCGAAGGCGGGUCUCUGGGCCGAUACUGACGCUGAGGAGCGAAAGCGUGGGGAGCGAACAGG